GAUGAACGCUGGCGGCGUGCCUAAUACAUGCAAGUCGAGCGAACAGAUGAGGCGCUUGCUCCUCUGACGUUAGCGGCGGACGUGUGAGUAACACGUGGAUAACCUACCUAUAAGACUGGGAUAACUUCGGGAAACCGGAGCUAAUACCGGAUAAUAUCUUGAACCGCAUGGUUCAAUAGUGAAAGACGGCUUUGCUGUCACUUAUAGAUGGAUCCGCGCCGCAUUAGCUAGUUGUUACGGUCACGGCUUACCACGGCAACGAUGCGUAGCCGACCUGAGAGAGGGAUAGGCCACAUGGGAGCGGAGACACGGACCAGACUACUACGGGAGGCAGCAGUAGGGAAUCGUCCGCAGUGGGCGAGAGUAUUGCGGAGCGACGCCGCGUGAGUGAUGAAGGUCUUCGGAUCGUAAAACUCUGUUAUUAGGUAAGAACAAAUGUGUAAGGAACUAUGCACGGCUUGACGGUACCUAAUCAAAAAGCCACGGCUAACUACGUG
rnacentral:rRNA from 1 species